GGGUAGUAGCUCAGUUGGUUAGAGCGCCUGCCUGUCACGCAGGAGGUCGCGAGUUCAAAUCUCGUCUAUCC
rnacentral:tRNA from 1 species